GGAAACGCACCCGUGGACGCGCCUAAUCACCGAAUGCAAGGUGAAGGGAGCGUGCAGUCAGAGGUGUGAAUCUGAGAGCAGGAGCUGUCCGACAACAGAGGUGCUGAAAUUACAGCCACUCGCAUGAAGAUCCAGGUCUACUGACGUGCACCGACACAGCAGUCCAAUUACUGGAAUUACAGCCAAUCCGGCAGAAGCGGUCAGAUGUCAAUUAAAGUCAGCAUGGGUGUCUGUGGCGCGGCUCUUGUUCUGAGGGCCGCCUGGCCUGUGGCGCGCGGGCUCCGCUCUCCACGCUGCUGCGCUAAUCCGUUUAUGGAGCACCUGGGACCGUGGACGGCAAUAACAUGCGCUUAUCCGUCGCCGCCGCGAAACAUGCUCAUCUGUGCACAGCAAUGCGAUAAUGCUCACUUCCCGGGAGGACCAGAAGGCCACUUUACCCCUUGAUUGAACUGUCGACGUCUCUGCGGGUUGAUAACUCCGAGAUGACAGUCAGCGUAUUUGUCACAUUAACCGACAAAUCCGACAAAGCGUCAUGAUCCAGGUUUUUUAAAAGGGAAUUUUGUUAAAUUAUUUUAACUCGUUUUAGGUACACUGUAAAAAAAAUGCAGGAUUUCACACAAUUCAUUCAUGUUGUCAUAACACAAAUCGAGUAUAAAAAAAGUUGAUUGAACAUAAAACAAUUAAGUUGUUGUCAAAAUCCCAAGAGUUUUGUAGUUUCAGCUAAUUUUAAAUAAGCAGUUUUAACACGAAAUCUUUUUUUGUAAGAGUAUAUAUUCGAAGUUCUGUUUGAACUAUUGACAGUGUGAAGUUUUGUUCAGUUUGAUUGAUCAGGGGUCUCUGUGAAUGAACGGGGCCUGUUUGACUGACGUGAGUUUCUCAAUG
ensembl:processed_transcript